rnacentral:rRNA from 1 species
UAGGGAAUCUUCCGCAAUGGACGCAAGUCUGACGGAGCAACGCCGCGUGAGUGAAGAAGGAUUUCGGUUCGUAAAACUCUGUUGUUAGAGAAGAACAGCGCAUAGAGUAACUGUUAUGCGUGUGACGGUAUCUAACCAGAAAGCCACGGCUAACUACGUGCCAGCAGCCGCGGUAAUACGUAGGUGGCAAGCGUUGUCCGGAUUUAUUGGGCGUAAAGCGAGCGCAGGCGGUCAAUUAAGUCUGAUGUGAAAGCCCCCGGCUCAACCGGGGAGGGUCAUUGGAAACUGGUUGACUUGAGUGCAGAAGAGGAGAGUGGAAUUCCAUGUGUAACGGUGAAAUGCGUAGAUAUAUGGAGGAACACCAGUGGCGAAGGCGACUCUCUGGUCUGUAACUGACGCUGAGGCUAGAAAGCGUGGGUAGCAAACAGG